AUGAACGCUGGCGGCGUGCCUAAUACAUGCAAGUCGAGCGCACAGAUGAGGAGCUUGCUCCUCUGACGUUAGCGGCGGACGGGUGAGUAACACGUGGAUAACCUACCUAUAAGACUGGGAUAACUUCGGGAAACCGGAGCUAAUACCGGAUAAUAUAUUGAACCGCAUGGUUCAAUAGUGAAAGACGGUUUUGCUGUCACUUAUAGAUGGAUCCGCGCCGCAUUAGCUAGUUGGUAAGGUAACGGCUUACCAAGGCGACGAUGCGUAGCCGACCUGAGAGGGUGAUCGGCCACACUGGAACUGAGACACGGUCCAGACUCCUACGGGAGGCAGCAAUAGGGAAUCUUCCGCAAUGGGCGAAAGCCUGACGGAGCAACGCCGCGUGAGUGAUGAAGGUCUUCGGAUCGUAAAACUCUGUUAUUAGGGAAGAACAAAUGUGUAAGUAACUAUGCACGUCUUGACGGUACCUAAUCAGAAAGCCACGGCUAACUACGUG
rnacentral:rRNA from 1 species